ACAAGACUGGGGAGCCGUCAACGUAGGCCGUUCAUCGGCUGGACGUGUUGCCGUUCCCAAAACUGCGCAUGGAGUGACUCGUGCCAAGGCAAUGGGGCUUUUGGCUACUGAAAAGAAAUUUGGAGCUGGCGGAAACAGAUCAGCCCACACUGCCUCCGUCAAUGCCAAAAAAAUCGAAGAUAGUGAUGAACUCAAACUCAACAAGGUCGACAAAUCU
rnacentral:ribozyme from 1 species